GGUCUAAGCUAUGCCCAGACUGCCCCAUAUCUCCCAGCACACCCCAGGUCCAGGAGGUACCAGUGACCCUCAGGAGGGAGCUGGAAGCAGGAGACUCACACCCCCGGCUGCAUGCAGAGGCCGCUGAGUACUGGAAGGCACGCCGGCACCAGGUGGCCGUUGCCCUGAAAUUUAAAGAGGAGGAACUGCAGAGGCUCCAGAGGCAGGGUGGGGUCUGGCCUCCCCAGGCCCCCCAGAGGCCAGCCCAGGACUCAGCUGGGCCAAGGGCUUCUGUGAGCAGGAAGAUGGGGCAGCAGCUGGAGAGGGGCCCGCCGAAGCCGCAGCUCCGUGGACAGCCGCCCGCGGGGGACCCUGACACAGCUACAGAGAGGCAGGAGUGUCCAUGGGAAGAAUGGCCGUGA
rnacentral:lncRNA from 1 species